rnacentral:rRNA from 1 species
GACGAACGCUGGCGGCGUGCUUAACACAUGCAAGUCGAACGGAGUGGCGAACGGGUGAGUAACACGCGGGUGACCCGCCCUGAACUUCGGGAUAAGACUGGGAAAAUGGGUCUAAUACCGGAUAGUGUGGGAUGGGCCCGCGGCCUAUCAGCUGGUUGGUGGGGUAAUGGCCUACCAACGGGGCGACGGGUAGACGGCCUGGGAGGGGGGACGGCCACAGUGGGACUGAGGCACGGCCCAGACUCCUACGGGAGGCAGCGGGGGGGAAUAUUGCACAAUGGGCGGAAGCCUGAUGCAGCGACGCCGCGUGGGGGAUGACGGCCUUCGGGUUGUAAACUCCUUUCACCAUCGACGCGGUAGAUGGAGAAGAAGCACCGGCUAACUACGUGCCAGCCGCCGCGGUAAUUC